rnacentral:rRNA from 1 species
UACAGAGGUCUCAAGCGUUGUUCGGAUUCAUUGGGCGUAAAGGGUGCGUAGGUGGCUUGUUAAGUUGAAGGUGAAAUCUCGGGGCUCAACUCCGAAACUGCCUUCAAUACUGGCGAGCUCGAGGACUGUAGAGGAGAAUGGAAUUCACGGUGUAGCAGUGAAAUGCGUAGAUAUCGUGAGGAAGACCAGUGGCGAAGGCGAUUCUCUGGGCAGUUCCUGACACUGAGGCACGAAGGCCAGGGGAGCAAAC